rnacentral:sRNA from 1 species
AUAACCGAGAGGGCAGAGCAAAAUCUGCCUUCCUACGCGGUCAAAGUCUUGGGAGGAUGCGAUCUAGGCGCGGUUACUCGCAGCCGCCGGAACACCGGAAAGCAGAUCGGACGCGUUUAAUUGCAAGGCCUUGUGCCUUGCAUUUUUUU